rnacentral:lncRNA from 1 species
AAAAGCUUAGCUGAUCUAAUCUUUGAGCUAGUAGUAAUAUUUUGCAGUUCAAGUGGGACCAUACUCUUAAAUGUAUAAUGUUUAGGAGACACGUAAAUAAAUUCACCAUCGGUUUCUCCAAAACAGUUGUUUAUGUGAUCAUCAUUUUCCCAUUAGUUUCUCAAGGAAGCAGAGACACCAUCCAUGGUUACAGUCACAGAG